rnacentral:tRNA from 1 species
GCCUUCGUAAUGUAGUAGUCAGCACGCUCGGCGAGUAAUCGAGAGGUUCGUGGUUCGAAUCCCGGCCAGGGCA